rnacentral:rRNA from 1 species
CAGGCCUAACACAUGCAAGUCGAGGGGGUCAGCAAUGGCCACCGGCGCACGGGUGCGUAACGCGUAUGCAACCUGCCCACAGCUCUGGGAUAGCCUUUCGAAAGAGAGAUUAAUACCGGAUGGACUGACAGGGUGACAUCACCUAAUCAGUAAAGAUUUAUUGGCUGUGGAUGGGCAUGCGUCUGAUUAGCUAGUUGGCGGGGUAACGGCCCACCAAGGCGACGAUCAGUAGGGGUUCUGAGAGGAUGGUCCCCCACACUGGCACUGAGAUACGGGCCAGACUCCUACGGGAGGCAGCAGUAGGGAAUAUUGGGCAAUGGUGGAAACACUGACCCAGCCAUGCCGCGUGCAGGAAGAAAGUCCUCUGGAUUGUAAACUGCUUUAGACGGGGAAGAAUAAGACUCUUGCGAGGCCUGAUGACGGUACCCGUAGAAUAAGCACCGGCUAACUACGUGCCAGCAGCCGCGGUAAU